rnacentral:lncRNA from 1 species
UCGUUUGAAACUCGCCGGAUCUGUCGCUCUUACAGUCGCUAAAAACAGAGGAAUCUUCGUUGAGACUUGAAUUGAUGAAGUUACUAUGGUCCAAGUAUGUGAAACUGUUGUAAUUCUCCAUUUGCUAUGAGAUUUUUUCAGGUAUUUUUGAUACUCACUGCAUUAAGACAUGGGCUCUGGGUUAGUUAUUUAAGUGUCCUGGGAUGCAGUUGCAGAGAAAGUGAGAAACCUCGAUAAAUUAUGAUUUGAUUAAUUUGUAAUUACAUUCCCCACCAAUACCAUCAUCAAGUUUCAGUGUUAUUCUAGAAGUCAUAUAAACAAAUCUGUUGUCAAAAGAGACUAAGUCAACCAAACAGCGUAAAUUUUUCAAUUUGUCCGUGUUUCCAUAUGCAGAACAUAAAGAAAGUUUCAGCCUUUUUAUCUUCAGCUUUCAAUCCGAUUUGGUGUCUGAAAGGGAAAUACUAAUUAAAAAUACAAUUUUUUUGGUUUAUAGAUCCACUACCAAAGUCGUUCAGUAGGUGGUAUGAUACACAUUGAUGGGGGUGCGCAUACUAAUGAGAAUGUUUAAGUACUGUACGGCUAUUGGGUUGCUGACUUGC